CCUACGGGAGGCAGCAGUGGGGGAUAUUGCACAAUGGGGGGAACCCUGAUGCAGCGACGCCGCGUGGGUGAAGAAGCGCCUCGGCGCGUAAAGCCCUGUCAGUAGGGAAGAAAAUGACGGUACCUGACGAAGAAGCCCCGGCUAACUACGUGCCAGCAGCCGCGGUAAUACGUAGGGGGCAAGCGUUCUCCGGAUUUAAUGGGUGUAAAGGGGGCGCAGGCUGCGAUGCAAGCCAGAAGUGAAAGCCCAAGGCUCAACCAUGGGACUGCUUUUGAAACUGUCAAACUAGAGUACGGGAGAGGUAAGAGGAAUUCCAAGUGUAGCGGUGAAAUGCGUAGAUAGUAGGAGGAACACCAGUGGCGAAGGCGUCUUACUGGACCGAAACUGACGUUGAGGCUCGAAAGCGUGGGGAGCAAACAGGAUCAGAUACCCGUGUAGUC
rnacentral:rRNA from 1 species